UACAGAGGUCUCAAGCGUUGUCCGGAAUUAUUGGGCGUAAAGAGCUCGUAGGCGGUUUGUUGCGUCGGCUGUGAAAACUUGGGGCUUAACCCCAAGCCUGCGGUCGAUACGGGCAGACUUGAGUUCGGCAGGGGAGACUGGAAUUCCUGGUGUAGCGGUGAAAUGCGCAGAUAUCAGGAGGAACACCGGUGGCGAAGGCGGGUCUCUGGGCCGAUACUGACGCUGAGGAGCGAAAGCGUGGGGAGCGAACAGG
rnacentral:rRNA from 1 species